GCCUGGGUGGCUCAGUCGGUUGAGCGUCCGACUUCCACUCAGGUCAUGAUCACAUGGUUCAAGCUCCAUAUCGGGCU
rnacentral:tRNA from 1 species